CAACCCUCGAACCCCCUCCGGGGGGGUCGGCGUUGGGGAUCGGGAACCCCUAAGACGGGAUCCCGGCCCCGAAAUACAGUGGCGGUCUCGCCGCAGCCUCUCAUGCGCAGUAGUUUGCACAACUCGCACCGGGAGCGCGGCGCGUCCACGUCCGUAAAACACCCAACUUCUGAAAUG
rnacentral:misc_RNA from 1 species